GAAGAAAGGACGUCGCGGAAGAAAUUGGGGAUGCGCGGGGCGGGAGAAAACAGAAAACCCAGCGUGCUAAAGAAGGAACCACGGUGGUUUUCUCUUGUCUUCUUGCACGAACGGUGGUUUAUACCAGGAAAAAAGGGAAGGCUCGAAAGGAUGAGUAACUAAAAUUGUACAGCUGCAUUAUCUUUCGGCAGAUGCUCCAGUACAUCGCAAAUCAUUAGUGUGAUUGUUUCUACUAGAUCUGUUCUAAAUUAUAAGAUGUCUCCUUUUAGACUACCAAAACAUCUUAUAAUUUGAAACAGAGAUAGUAUUAAAACAUCUUGCACGAACAUGCUCGCCUCAAGAUCUCUGAAUCCCCCCGUCGUCUCCACCCAGGAUAGCUGCUUUUGUUGGAUCGUGUCUGUCGUCGAUCCUGAGCCCGAUGACACCUCUGGAGUUUGGCAGCUCAUCUCCCCAGCCGUCACCGCUGAAAAAGAAAAAGAAGGCUGCCCCUGCACUUCAGUCCCUCGUGUUGCCCUGUGUGGCUCGCUGAACCAUGGUGCUAGGUGUAGAAACUUUAUAUUCUGUGUUGUCAGGAUUGCUGUUUAAAACUGCACUGUGUAAAGAAUUCGUUGUGCCAGGUUUCAAUGAAAGUUGGGACCGGGACUUUUGUCCUGAUCAUCUAAAAAAAGUACUCUCUCUCUGUUCCAUAAUUGUUGUCUCGAAUUUUAAAAAUAGAUGUAUCUAUUUC